AGUGAACGCUGGCGGUAGGCCUAACACAUGCAAGUCGAACGGCAGCACAGUAAGAGCUUGCUCUUACGGGUGGCGAGUGGCGGACGGGUGAGGAAUACAUCGGAAUCUACUUUUUCGUGGGGGAUAACGUAGGGAAACUUACGCUAAUACCGCAUACGACCUACGGGUGAAAGCAGGGGAUCUUCGGACCUUGCGCGAUUGAAUGAGCCGAUGUCGGAUUAGCUAGUUGGCGGGGUAAAGGCCCACCAAGGCGACGAUCCGUAGCUGGUCUGAGAGGAUGAUCAGCCACACUGGAAAUGAGACACGGUCCAGACCCCUACGGGAGGCAGCAGUGGGGAAUAUUGGACAAUGGGCGCAAGCCUGACCCAGCCAUACCGCGUGGGUGAAGAAGGCCUUCGGGUUGUAAAGCCCUUUUGUUGGGAAAGAAAAGCAGCAGGUUAAUACCCCGCUGUUCUGACGGUACCCAAAGAAUAAGCACCGGCUAACUUCGU
rnacentral:rRNA from 1 species